rnacentral:rRNA from 1 species
AGUGUUUAUUAGAUACAGAACCAAUACACCAUCUGUUAACAGCAGGUGGUGUAAAAAAGGUGAUUCAUAGUAACCGAACGGAUCGCAUUAUGGUCAUUUUAUAUGGCUGGCGAUAGAUCAUUCAAGUU